GCGCUCGUAGUUCAAUUGGACAGAACACCAGCUUGCGGAGCUGACGAUUGAGAGUUCGAGUCUCUCCGAGCGCGCCG
rnacentral:tRNA from 1 species